rnacentral:rRNA from 1 species
AGUAAUACAUCGGAACGUGUCUUCUAGUGGGGGAUAACUGCCCGAAAGGGCAGCUAAUACCGCAUGAGACCUGAGGGUGAAAGCGGGGGAUCGCAAGACCUCGCGCUGGAAGAGCGGCCGAUGUCCGAUUAGCUAGUUGGUGAGGUAAUGGCUCACCAAGGCGACGAUCGGUAGCUGGUCUGAGAGGACGACCAGCCACACUGGGACUGAGACACGGCCCAG